GCUCACUUCAGCAGCGCAUAUACUAAAAUUGGAACCAUACAGAGAAGAUUAGCAUGGCCCCUGUGCAAGGAUGACAUGCAAAUUCAUGAAUCUUUUAAUUGCUUA